rnacentral:lncRNA from 1 species
GGCGGUCUCGGCCUGCCCUCCGGCCGCCGGCGCCGCGGGAGCCCUACGCUGUGCUCACGCGCUGCUCCUCGGGCUACCCUGGAAUCCUGCUGCCCUUUCCUAUUUCUAAAACGCCAUUGGGCUGGAAGCUGCCUCGAGUGGCCUCUGACCCUAGAGCCGUCUUAGAAAAACCGGAUACUCUGUACUGGGGAAGAGAAGCGAUCCUCACUGGCUCGCGGGGAUGUUAGCGACAGAUUUGUGGACGGAACUGUCCUCGGUAUCUUCAGAUAGGAAUCUGAAUCCAGAAGAGAAAAAGGCAGCUGCCCGAGUUUCCAAGAGCUUCCUGAUUGAUAGGUUCCAACUUUUCGGGUCACUGGAGUGCUUUCUGUUUUCCUACCAGCACACUAUGUUAAAUAGCCUAGUGAUACGGGAUUGACCCUUGACAGUUAAGGAUGACUUCUGGGAGAAUGCCAAGUGCUACAAAAUUAAGUGAACGAGACAGGGACGCCUUCUGGCACUUACCAGAUAUUUAAAUUGGCAAGGCAAUCAGGAGAAGUAUCACUCACUGGGAAGAAAUCAGGAAGUUAAGGAGCACAGGAUAAAGCUAUAUAAGGACGUCAAGCAGGAAACAGGAAGAGAAAAUUCCAAGCAUGAACCUAAAUCUAUCCCAAACCCUUUGAUGGUAUCUGGAAAUCACUUGCCAAGCAAAUAUCCCCAUAACCUAAAUCAAACAAGUGAAGUCCAUACAGAAACUCAUUAUGGUGUUGAGUGUGUUCUAGGUGAAUAGACUCUAAAUUAUGCAACUAAACAGGGCUCAUGUUACAAAAUUCCAGCUCAUUAAAUCAACAAACAAGGAUUAACUACCUGCUAUGAGUAAAUACAGUUAAGAUACAGAAAGGAAAACUUGGGAGCCUACAGCACAGUCCUUACACUCCACAGGGAUGAAGGCUGAAGGCAUAAUUGACUCUGAGCCAAUGCAGGAGCCAACAAGACAGAAUUAAUUUGUAUGAAUGUUGGGGUGGAGGAAAUAAUCCUGUUUGGAAGAUUUGGACGACCUCAUAGGAAAGAAACAUUUCAAUGUACCCUAAAGAAUUUAUAGGCUUAGCUUGGUGUGAAAGUCCUUAGGCCUGGCUGGAAUACCAGUCUGGCCCACUGAAGGAGAGAUCCUGAUGGAAGAAAGGAAAAG